rnacentral:misc_RNA from 1 species
UUACCGAGUGGCAUGAAAUCUUCCUGUCGCAAGACGGGGGGAAGCUACCCGACCUUUUGUCAUGUUGUAUGUCGGCUGGUGAUUUGCCUUUUUUUUUCUUCUCUUUUUUCUUUGAAGCUUCGGUUUUUUCGAAAAAGAGGGGAGGGCAGAGCCAGACGAACCAAAACUUCGGCGGAAGAGGUAGGCGUAGACCUGCCCGCCGCCGGCCGUAUAACGUCAGAUAUUCUUGAGAGCAAGCUGAAGUCUAAGAAUUGCUGUCAUGGCAAACAAAUACAAAAAAAAAGCAAAACUUUCAACAACGGAUCUCUUGGCUCUGGCAACGAUGAAGAACGCAGCGAAACGCGAAAGGUAAUGCGAAUUGCAGAAUCAGUGAGUCAUCGAAUCUUUGAACGCACAUUGCGCCUCUCGGUAUUCCGGGAGGCACGCCUGUUCGAGCGCCAUUACAAACUCCAAGCCGUGCUUGAUGUUGGUCCGGUGUGUCUCUUGUGGACGUUUCUUGUCUAUGCAGGUAGAUGAGGGAUGGAGAUGGGAGACACAGGACUGGAACACGUUGGCGCCGGCGCCAGACCCCGAGCGUAGCAAGACGAGAGUCAAGAAAUCGCAUCGGAUUGGAUCUGGCGGACGGCGGCCUUGUUUUUUUUGUUGAUUUGUGUUGUUUGUAUGUCUCAGGGCCUUUUUGGUAUCGGGCGAAGCGAUUCACCGGUGUGGAAGGGCGCAGGAGGUAUAUGAUGAUGCACAGACAAAUACACACAGUUUGGCCUCGGAUCAGGCGGGGAUACCCGCUGAACUUAAGCAUAUCAAUAA